rnacentral:rRNA from 1 species
ACAUAAGGCCCACCCUGGCUGGGCCUGAUCUCUUCUGAUCUCAGAAAGUGAACAGUACUGGGCCUGCUUAGUAUUUGAAGGGAAAGAGAACUUUCCUCGUCUUGCUGCCUUAUUUA